GUUGGUGUGUCUUCUGCAAGCUCUCCAGAGGCCUAUUUAUAGGCAUGUGGUAAGUAUGAAUUCGACACCUUGAAUUCUACUCCGACGGCUGGAAGCCGUAAAGGUUGAAGAUGAAGAGGUGGCCGGUGGUCGCAGUCAAAAAAUUGAAGCUGCCAUGCAGAAGUCGAAGUUGGCGUCCUGCUACUGCUUCUUCUGCUGCUGCUGUCAACUGU
rnacentral:lncRNA from 1 species